AGCUCAGCGGUAGAGCACGUGCCUAGCAUGCACAAAGUCCUGGGUUCAAUCCCCAG
rnacentral:tRNA from 1 species